GUCAAACCAGGAAGCAAAAGGCACAAAUUUGGCUAAAAUGAACGUUACCUGGGCAUACCUCACUACAUGUGUGAAAUGGAGAUGUAAUUUCCACCUUGGGGCUGUAAGUGAGAAUUUGGUGAAGACUCUAGGAUUAUACUGUAAUGAAAUGCAUAAACUAGCCAACACAAUCCAUCUUAGUUAUGUUUGUAGGUAAAAUACAUUUCUGCUUGGUGUAUAUACUAAAACAUGUAGUCCUGGGGAAAUAAAAUUACACUCUCUUAUGGUUUCACAUCCCAACAAUCAUCUGUUCUUUAGCAGGUCUUAAAGUUAAGUAAAUACAAUAUCAGCUGAACAACACAUGACAUAUUACACAGUGUCAUGAUUAAUAAAACCAAUAUGGGGAAGCCAUGUCUGUAAAACUUAAGUACACCUGUACUGCUUCCAUAGGAAUUAAGAGGCUAAGUAGCACAUAGAAUCUGCUAGGCAAAUGCCCUUUAUUAAUGUAUCAUCAGCAAGUGUGGCCACCUCUGUAAAAGCUAAAGAUUUAGCAGUUUGCUAGUCUGAAGCAUUCAGGUGUGUUAACACAAUGCCAAAAAGGAAAGUCUAAUGAUUGUAGAGAAGCAGUUGCUUCCCAUAAAACUGGGAAGGGUAAUAAGGCCAUUUCCAAGAUAUUUAAAGUCCAUAAUUCUACAGUGAGAAAGAUUAUCUAAAAGUGGAAAACAUUCAAGACCUUUGACAAUCUUCCCAUGAGUGGACGUCCCAGAAAAUUCAUCCCAAAAUCAGACACUGCAAUGCUUAGAGAAAUUGCAACAAACAAACAAACUAGUUACAUUGCAGACUCUACAGGCCACAGCAUUAAAUGUUAAAGUUUAUGACAGUACAGUUAAAAAUAGGUUGAACAAG